AAAACUCUAAGCGGUGGAUCACUCGGCUCAUGGGUCGAUGAAGAACGCAGCAAACUGUGCGUCAUCGUGUGAACUGCAGGACACAUGAACAUCGACAUUUUGAACGCAUAUCGCAGUCCAUGCUGUUAUGUACUUUAAUUAAUUUUAUAGUGCUGCUUGGACUACAUAUGGUUGAGGGUUGUAAGACUAUGCUAAUUAAGUUGCUUAUAAAUUUUUAUAAGCAUAUGGUAUAUUAUUGGAUAAAUAUAAUAAUUUUUAUUCAUAAUAUUAAAAAAUAAAUGAAAAACAUUAUCUCACAUUUGAAUGUGAAAAACGAAGAGAAAUAUUUUCUUUUUCAAUCAAAUAAUACUGAGAAAUGUCUAGCAUAAAAAAUUGAAAUAUUUUUCAUCUAGAAUUGUCUCUUAUUAAUGAUUCGGAAAUAGAAAAAUCUUGGUUAUGUUAUUAUUCUUCGUCGGUUCGUUAAAAAUGGAUAAAUAAAAACUUUGCAUACAAGAAUUAAUAAAAAUGUUAUAACGAAUUUAAUUAAAUGUUUUAUCAUUAUAUAUAAAGAAUUUAUGGCAAGAUAAAGUUAUAUACAACCUCAACUCAUAUGGGACUACCCCCUGAAUUUAAGCAUAUUAAUUAGGGGAGGAAAAGAAACUAACAAGGAUUUUCUUAGUAUUGGCGAGCGAAAAGAAAACAGUUCAGCACUAAGUCACUUUGUCUAUAUGGCAAAUGUGAGAUGCAGUGUAUGGAGCGUCAAUAUUCUAGUAUGAGAAAUUAACGAUUUAAGUCCUUCUUAAAUGAGGCCAUUUACCCAUAGAGGGUGCCAGGCCCGUAUAACGUUAAUGAUUACUAGAUGAUGUUUCCAAAGAGUCGUGUUGCUUGAUAGUGCAGCACUAAGUGGGUGGUAAACUCCAUCUAAAACUAAAUAUAACCAUGAGACCGAUAGUAAACAAGUACCGUGAGGGAAAGUUGAAAAGAACUCUGAAUAGAGAGUUAAACAGUACGUGAAACUGCUUAGAGGUUAAGCCCGAUGAACCUGAAUAUCCGUUAUGGAAAAUUCAUCAUUAAAAUUGUAAUAUUUAAAUAAUAUUAUGAGAAUAGUGUGCAUUUUUUCCAUAUAAGGACAUUGUAAUCUAUUAGCAUAUACCAAAUUUAUCAUAAAAUAUAACUUAUAGUUUAUUCCAAUUAAAUUGCUUGCAUUUUAACACAGAAUAAAUGUUAUUAAUUUGAUAAAGUGCUGAUAGAUUACAGUGCGUUAAUUUUUCGGAAUUAUAUAAUGGCAUAAUUAUCAUUGAUUUUUGUGUUUAUUAUAUGCACUUGUAUGAUUAACAAUGCGAAAGAUUCAGGAUACCUUCGGGACCCGUCUUGAAACACGGACCAAGGAGUCUAACAUAUGUGCAAGUUAUUGGGAUAUAAACCUAAUAGCGUAAUUAACUUGACUAAUAAUGGGAUUAGUUUUUUAGCUAUUUAUAGCUAAUUAACACAAUCCCGGGGCGUUCUAUAUAGUUAUGUAUAAUGUAUAUUUAUAUUAUUUAUGCCUCUAACUGGAACGUACCUUGAGCAUAUAUGCUGUGACCCGAAAGAUGGUGAACUAUACUUGAUCAGGUUGAAGUCAGGGGAAACCCUGAUGGAAGACCGAAACAGUUCUGACGUGCAAAUCGAUUGUCAGAAUUGAGUAUAGGGGCGAAAGACCAAUCGAACCAUCUAGUAGCUGGUUCCUUCCGAAGUUUCCCUCAGGAUAGCUGGUGCAUUUUUAAUAUUAUAUAAAAUAAUCUUAUCUGGUAAAGCGAAUGAUUAGAGGCCUUAGGGUCGAAACGAUCUUAACCUAUUCUCAAACUUUAAAUGGGUAAGAACCUUAACUUUCUUGAUAUGAAGUUCAAGGUUAUGAUAUAAUGUGCCCAGUGGGCCACUUUUGGUAAGCAGAACUGGCGCUGUGGGAUGAACAAACGUAAUGUUACGGUGCCCAAAUUAACAACUCAUGCAGAUACCAUGAAAGGCGUUGGUUGCUUAAAACAGCAGGACGGUGAUCAAUGGAAGUCGAAAUCCGCUAAGGAGUGUGUAACAACUCACCUGCCGAAGCAACUAGCCCUUAAAAUGGAUGGCGCUUAAGUUGUAUACCUAUACAUUACCGCUAAAGUAGAUGAUUUAUAUUACUUGUGAUAUAAAUUUUGAAACUUUAGUGAGUAGGAAGGUACAAUGGUAUGCGUAGAAGUGUUUGGCGUAAGCCUGCAUGGAGCUGCCAUUGGUACAGAUCUUGGUGGUAGUAGCAAAUAAUCGAAUGAGACCUUGGAGGACUGAAGUGGAGAAGGGUUUCGUGUGAACAGUGGUUGAUCACGAGUUAGUCGGUCCUAAGUUCAAGGCGAAAGCCGAAAAUUUUCAAGUAAAACAAAAAUGCCUAACUAUAUAAACAAAGCGAAUUAUAAUACACUUGAAUAAUUUUGAACGAAAGGGAAUACGGUUCCAAUUCCGUAACCUGUUGAGUAUCCGUUUGUUAUUAAAUAUGGGCCUCGUGCUCAUCCUGGCAACAGGAACGACCAUAAAGAAGCCGUCGAGAGAUAUCGGAAGAGUUUUCUUUUCUGUUUUAUAGCCGUACUACCAUGGAAGUCUUUCGCAGAGAGAUAUGGUAGAUGGGCUAGAAGAGCAUGACAUAUACUGUUGUGUCGAUAUUUUCUCCUCGGACCUUGAAAAUUUAUGGUGGGGACACGCAACUUCUCAACAGGCCGUACCAAUAUCCGCAGCUGGUCUCCAAGGUGAAGAGUCUCUAGUCCGAUAGAAUAAUGUAGGUAAGGGAAGUCGGCAAAUUAGAUCCGUAACUUCGGGAUAAGGAUUGGCUCUGAAGAUUGAGAUAGUCGGGCUUGAUUGGGAAACAAUAACAUGGUUUAUGUGCUCGUUCUGGGUAAAUAGAGUUUCUAGCAUUUAUGUUAGUUACUUGUUCCCCGGAUAGUUUAGUUACGUAGCCAAUUGUGGAACUUUCUUGCUAAAAUUUUUAAGAAUACUAUUUGGGUUAAACCAAUUAGUUCUUAUUAAUUAUAACGAUUAUCAAUUAACAAUCAAUUCAGAACUGGCACGGACUUGGGGAAUCCGACUGUCUAAUUAAAACAAAGCAUUGUGAUGGCCCUAGCGGGUGUUGACACAAUGUGAUUUCUGCCCAGUGCUCUGAAUGUCAAAGUGAAGAAUCAUGGGGUAUUGGAGAGCAGAGGGGGAGUAUUCUUCUGUAAUUCGUAAGUCAUAUCAUAUGAUGUGCGGAAGGGGAAUUUUACUCUGUAACUCACAAGUCUCUCCUUUACUCAAGUCGACUCAAAACUCCUCGUGGUGGUCCCCGGUAAUGCUAAACUCGUUUAGCAGCUAAUUUGAGCGGCAAAACUUUUCCGAUGGCUGGUUCCCAGAGGAAAUUUAUUCAUAUUGGAACUACAAGCACAAAUAACGAGCCUCGAAUACCUUUACACAAUCUGAUGACGACCCGACCCUCCGUGGAUAUCUUCCCGGAGGACCAAUAUGAACCAAACGCAGCGGCUACUCUAUCUAGGGUUCCCUGCACAGUAUGUGGCCGGUCCUUAACAGCAAGAGAGGACUCGGUGUUCACAUGCGAUCUCGGCACCCAGACGAACUUGAUGAAGAACGUCGACGUGUCGAUAUAAGCAAGAUGGAGUGAUGAAGAAGUGGAUGAUGGCGAGAAAGGAGUUGAGUCACAGAAAUGGAUGUAAACAAUAAACAAGCUAGCGGUGUAUUUUGCAAACCGCAGCGUCGAAGCCAUCAAAAGCUAGACAGAGGGGCGAUUAUAAGGAGAAAAUAGAGCAGAUAAGAGGCAAUCAGCUUCGCCCGGAAUUGUAAUCUAAACCAUAAGGCGCCGCCCUAGUAGAAGUGAGCAAGCACCAAGUAACAACAUCGGAAACAACUCCAAAUCACUCCCUUCGAACAGUCGAACAGGGAAAUUU
rnacentral:rRNA from 1 species